UACGAAGGGGGCUAGCGUUGUUCGGAAUUACUGGGCGUAAAGCGCACGUAGGCGGGUCGUUAAGUCAGGGGUGAAAUCCCGGAGCUCAACUCCGGAACUGCCUUUGAUACUGGCGAUCUUGAGAUCGGAAGAGGUGAGUGGAAUUCCCAGUGUAGAGGUGAAAUUCGUAGAUAUUGGGAAGAACACCAGUGGCGAAGGCGGCUCACUGGUCCGAUACUGACGCUGAGGUGCGAAAGCGUGGGGAGCGAACAGG
rnacentral:rRNA from 1 species